UACGGAGGGUGCGAGCGUUGUCCGGAAUCAUUGGGCGUAAAGCGCACGUAGGCGGUCCGUUAAGUCUCAUAGGUGAAAGGCUGGGGCUCAACCCCAUGCAUGCCGGGGAUACUGGCGGACUGGAGACAGGUAGAGGCGAGCGGAAUUCCGGGUGUAGCGGUGGAAUGCGCAGAUAUCAGGAGGAACACCGGUGGCGAAGGCGGAUCUCUGGGCCUUACCUGACGCUCAGGUGCGAAAGCUAGGGGAGCGAACAGG
rnacentral:rRNA from 1 species